rnacentral:snRNA from 1 species
AUACUUACCUGGCAGGGGAGAUACCAUGAUCAAGAAGGUGGUUCACCCAGGGUGAGGCUCAGCCAUUGCACUCUGGCUAGCUGACCUUUGUGAAUUCCCCAAAUGUGGGAAUCUCAACUGCAUAAUUUCUGGUAGUGGGGGACUGCGUUCGCGCUCUCCCCUG